AGGCCAAUGUUGCCAUGAUUCUUGGGGCAUCACAGUUGCGCUGGAGAAUCCAGGCCCUGAUGCCUUAGAAAGCCCAUUGCUGCAGAAGGGGAGAGACGGGAUGUUCAGUUAAUGCCGGACACCCAGAGCAGUUGGCAUAUACUGGGCCCCCAGCUCUACCUUACCUGGCCCCCUGAUCUAGGAUUGUCACCAGCAGUCUGCACCAGCACCCCCUCCCUGUCACUCCAGAACUGGCUUCUUGAUUGGACAUCUGCCUUUUCUGGGUGUCCUGUGGCACAGUGAUGUCUGGACCAAGAAGAACUUGGCAAUGUCUCUGAGUAGCCCGAGGCCCAGGGUCAUUCACUCAAGGAAUUGGUCUGAGUUGGGAUAACCCCCGUUUGGAAUUUGAUGGAUGAAAGAAACAAAUGGAUGGUGAUGAUGAU